AUUGAACGCUGGCGGCAUGCCUUACACAUGCAAGUCGAACGGUAACAGGUCUUCGGAUGCUGACGAGUGGCGAACGGGUGAGUAAUACAUCGGAACGUGCCUAGUCGUGGGGGAUAACUACUCGAAAGAGUGGCUAAUACCGCAUGAGAUGUACGGGUGAAAGCAGGGGAUCGCAAGACCUUGUGCUACUAGAGCGGCCGAUGGCAGAGUAGGUAGUUGGGGGGUUAAAAGCUUACCAAUCCGACGAUCUGUAGCUGGCCUGAGAGGACGAUCAGCCACACUGGGACUGAGACACGGCCCAGACUCCUACGGGAGGCAGCAGUUGGGAAUGUUGGACAAUGGGCGCAAGCCUGAUCCAGCAAUGCCGCGUGCAGGAUGAAGGCCUUCGGGUUGUAAACUGCUUGUGUACGGAACGAAAAGCCCUGGGUUAAUACCCUGGGGACAUGACGGUACCGUAAGAAUAAGCACCGGCUAACUACGUGCCAGCCGCCGCAGUAACAC
rnacentral:rRNA from 1 species